UACGGAGGGUGCAAGCGUUGCUCGGAAUUAUUGGGCGUAAAGGGUAGGUAGGUGGUCUUAUUUGUCUGGGGUGAAAGCCUUGAGCUUAACUCAAGAAGUGCCCCAGAAACGGUAAGACUAGAGUCCUGGAGAGGGUCGUGGAAUUCCCGGUGUAGCGGUGAAAUGCGUAGAGAUCGGGAGGAACACCAGCGGCGAAAGCGCGCUACUGGGCCAUUACUGACACUCAUGGACGAAAGCUAGGGGAGCGAAAGGG
rnacentral:rRNA from 1 species